AGGAGCAGGGCCUUUUUCUCAUUGGCUGGGGGACAUUGUGGGAAAGUACUCUGUUGGAGGAAGGGGUCGGCCUGACAAGAGCAGGAGCUGAGCUGGCUGGAGGCUGCAGUUGUGAAGCUGGUCUAACGGGGAGGAGCCAUGAGGACAUCCAGGGGAGCUUUAAUCGUGUUCUCGUGGCUGCAGCUGAGCUGGUUCAGCCAAGGAGAGACGGUGGAGCAGCGGCCUUCGACCCUGAGUGUGCGACAGGGACGCAGCUCUGUCAUCAACUGCAGCUAUUCAGACAGUGCCUCAGUCUACUUCCCUUGGUAUAAGCAAGAGCUUGGAAAAGGUCCCCAGCUCCUUAUAGACAUUCGUUCCACCACGGCCACAAAAGAAGACCAAAGGCUCACUGUCUCACUGAGCAGGACGGCCAGACAUCUGUCCCUGCACAUCGCAGACACGCAGCCUGAAGACUCAGCUGUGUACUUCUGCGCGGCAAGCACACACUGCUCCCCAGACACCUGCUGCCUGCGCUCAAACCUGUGAGCGGGGCAGCCCCUGGCCUUUGACACAGACCUUCCAGGAGAGCAUUUGUGCUGUUUGUCUGUAGGUGGAAGCUGAUGUGUUAGAUGUGAAAAGCAUAUAAUAAGACGGUUAGGAUGGAGAUGACCCAGACAGGGUUAGAACAUUUUGUUGAAUGACUGUUUUUUGAUGGAUUCUUGAAUGGAGUUAGUAAUGUUUUAUUUUGAAAUUCAGGUUUUAAGAUGACUUUACAUUUGCUCUUCAGACUGUCUCUUAUAAAUAUCCACUCAGUACCAGUAUUACAGUCCUUCUUAUGGAUGGGCACUUAAAAUUGUAUUUCAAAAGUAGUAGUUAUGAUUUUUGUGAUUCUAAAACAUCACAUGCCAAAUAUAGUAGUAUGGAAAGUAGAAACAUGAAAGUGAUAAUUCUGUAAACAGAUAAUAUUGCUAAUAAUCUUUUUAGUCUCUCCAAAUAUUUAUUAGAAUUACAUUCAUGAUUUUUUCACUUUAUGGAUUUUGAUUUGAGCAUUUCCUACUUCAUCGAAUCUUUCCCUCAAAGAUCUGGGUUUUUUUUUUAAUUUUAUUUUUUUUAAGUUUUCAUUUAACUUGUGAUUCAAAAUAGCUCUGUGAGGUAUUUUCAUUAAUUAUGGUUUCAUAUUAAUUUUGUUCCUCUGUAUUUGGGGCAAAUUUGACUGCUGAAAUUUUCUAUGUGCUUUGAUCACUUUCUUUUUCAGAAAUUGUGAACAGGUUUUCCUUCAGAGCCCAGGAAUGGUAUGUACUAUUUGUGCGUUUGAGGCAAUUAAGAUAGGGAGUGAUUUGACAGUGUGAGUUUCAGAUAAAACUCAGAAAUCUACUCUCGUUUGCAAAAUUUUUUAAGUGUCUGUUCAUAUUACCCUCUCAUAGAAUUUAGGAGACAGAGUUUUGUAUUUCAUUCACUGGUAUAUUUUCAGUAAGUAGCACAAACUUUUCACAUAAUUAAUUAGCAGUAGAUGUUAAAGAAAGAAGGAAAGGAGAUUUCUGCUACUUACUCAUAAUUGUAAUUUAAGCUUUAUGAUUGAAUUAAACUUAUAAAUUGAUUUGUGAAAUGUCCUUAUUCUGUAUAUCCGAUUAUUUGAUUGUUUUACAACAUAUUGUUUCUUUCCAUGUAUAUGCGUCUCUUUCUUAAUAAAGCUCAUUUGU